rnacentral:rRNA from 1 species
CGGUUGAUCCUGCCAGAGGCUACUGCCAUCAGAGUUCGAUUAAGCCAUGGUAGUCGAGGGUGCUGGUAACCCGGCAACCGGCUCAGUAACACGUGGACAACUUACCCUUGGGACCGGGAUAACCCUGGGAAACUGGGGCUAAUACCGGAUAGAGCAUUGAUUGCUGGAAUGCAUGAUGUUCGAAAGCUGAGGCGCCCAAGGACAGGUCUGCGGCCGAUUAAGUUGUUGUUGAUGUGACGGAUCAACAAGCCUACGAUCGGUACGGGUUGUGAGAGCAAUAGCCCGGAGAUGGGUUCUGAGAGAAGAGCCCAGGUCCUACGGGACGCAUCAGGCGCGAAAACUUUACAAUGUGCGAAAGCACGAUAAGGGAACUCUGAGUGCCUCCUAAGGAGGCUGUUCGGGUGUCUAAAAAGCACCCGAAGGAAGGGCUGGGUAAGACCGGUGCCAGCCGCCGCGGUAACACCGGCAGCCCAAGUGGUAGCCAUGCUUAUUGGGUCUAAAGCGUCCGUAGCCGGCUAAGUAAGUUCUUUGGGAAAUUUGACCGCUUAACGGUCAAGCUAUCAGGGAAUACUGCUUGGCUUGGGACCGGGAGAGGUCAGAGGUACUCCAAGGGUAGGGGUGAAAUCCGUUAAUCCUUGGGGGACCACCGGUAGCGAAGGCGUCUGACCAGAUCGGGUCCGACGGUGAGGGACGAAGGCUGGGGUCGCGAACCGGAUUAGAUACCCGGGUAGUCCUAGCUGUAAACGAUGCGGGCCAGGUGUUGGCAUUACUGCGAGUGAUGCCAGUGCCGAAGGGAAGCCGUUAAGCCCGUCAUCUGGGGAGUACGGCCGCAAGGCUGAAACUUAAAGGAAUUGGCGGGGGAGCAC